rnacentral:tRNA from 1 species
GAGCUAAUAGUUUAACGAUAUAAGAACUUCUAAUUGUUAAUUAGAGUGUGGUAGUAAUCUUAGUUUU